CCUACGGGAGGCUGCAGUAGGGAAUCUUCCACAAUGGGCGAAAGCCUGAUGGAGCAACGCCGCGUGGGUGAAGAAGGUCUUCGGAUCGUAAAACCCUGUUGUUAGAGAAGAAAGUGCGUGAGAGUAACUGUUCACGUUUCGACGGUAUCUAACCAGAAAGCCACGGCUAACUACGUGCCAGCAGCCGCGGUAAUACGUAGGUGGCAAGCGUUAUCCGGAUUUAUUGGGCGUAAAGGGAACGCAGGCGGUCUUUUAAGUCUGAUGUGAAAGCCUUCGGCUUAACCGGAGUAGUGCAUUGGAAACUGGGAGACUGGAGUGCAGAAGAGGAGAGUGGAACGCCAUGUGUAGCGGUGAAAUGCGUAGAGAUAUGGAAGAACACCAGUGGCGAAAGCGGCUCUCUGGUCUGUAACUGACGCUGAGGUUCGAAAGCGUGGGUAGCAAACAGGAUUAGAUACCCGAGUAGUC
rnacentral:rRNA from 1 species